rnacentral:misc_RNA from 1 species
GAAUAUGAUGAAUAAGAAAAUGGUUAAUGGUGGAAGAGUGCACAAUUGGACAUGCAUAAAUUUUGCUCGAAAUGUUCAAGAAAAUGUUGCUGGCGGAUUCUGUUAUGAAUUAGCCCAGAUGUGUCGAACAUCUGGAAUGGACUUUUCUCUAGAACCUGUGGUUCGGCCAUUAUUAGCCAGGCCUGAUGAGGUGGAAAGAGCUUUAAAAGCACAUUAUCAAGGAGCUAUGUCCAUACUCCGACCACAGGGCAAAGAACUUAAUUUGCUUAUUGUAAUAUUGCCGGACAAUAAUGGUUCUCUUU